CCUACGGGACGCAGCAGUGGGGAAUAAUGCACAAUGGGGGAAACCCUGAUGCAGCGACGCCGCGGGGGCGAAGAAGUAUUUCGGUAUGUAAAACUCUAUCAGCAGGGAAGAAAAAUGACGGUACCUGAGGAAGAAGCACCGGCUAAAUACGUGCCAGCAGCCGCGGUAAUACGUAUGGUGCAGGCGUUAUCCGGAUUUACUGGGUGUAAAGGGAGCGCAGGCGGUGCGGCAAGUCUGAUGUGAAAGCCCG
rnacentral:rRNA from 1 species